CCUACGGGAGGCUGCAGUGGGGAAUAUUGCACAAUGGGCGAAAGCCUGAUGCAGCAACGCCGCGUGAGUGAUGAAGGCCUUCGGGUCGUAAAGCUCUUUGAUCAGGGAUGAUAAUGACAGUACCUGAAAAACAAGCCACGGCUAACUACGUGCCAGCAGCCGCGGUAAUACGUAGGUGGCGAGCGUUGUCCGGAAUUACUGGGCGUAAAGGAUGCGUAGGUGGAUAUUUAAGUGGGAUGUGAAAUCCCCGGGCUCAACCCGGGAACUGCAUUCCAAACUGGGUAUCUAGAGUGCAGGAGAGGAAAGCGGAAUUCCUAGUGUAGCGGUGAAAUGCGUAGAUAUUAGGAGGAACACCAGUGGCGAAGGCGGCUUUCUGGACUGUAACUGACACUGAGGCACGAAAGCGUGGGUAGCAAACAGGAUUAGAUACCCCAGUAGUC
rnacentral:rRNA from 1 species